GGCAACCAAAGCAUGGAGUGAUGAAAGUUGUGGACAUUCUGAUAUUUAAUAUCUCUAGAGCAAACGAGUCUCUGCUCACAUUGGAAAAUCAUUGGAAGGACUGCAUGGAUCGCUUCCUCCAAGUAAGUACCACAGUGAGACACACCAGGCAAGAAG